UACGGUGGGGGCAAGCGUUGUUCGGAAUUACUGGGCGUAAAGGGCUCGUAGGUGGCCAACUAAGUCAGACGUGAAAUCCCUCGGCUUAACCGGGGAACUGCGUCUGAUACUGGAUGGCUUGAGUUUGGGAGAGGGACGCGGAAUUCCAGGUGUAGCGGUGAAAUGCGUAGAUAUCUGGAGGAACACCGGUGGCGAAGGCGGCGUCCUGGACCAAUACUGACACUGAGUGAGCGAAAGCCAGGGGAGCAAACGGG
rnacentral:rRNA from 1 species